rnacentral:rRNA from 1 species
UACGUAGGGGGCAAGCGUUGUCCGGAUUUAUUGGGCGUAAAGCGCGCGCAGGUGGUUCAUUAAGUUGGGUGUUAAAUACAGCGGCUCAACCGCUGUUCGCACUCAAAACUGGUGAACUUGAGUACAGGAGAGGUGAGUGGAAUUCCCGGUGUAGCGGUGGAAUGCGUAGAGAUCGGGAGGAACACCGGUGGCGAAGGCGGCUUCCUGGACCGACACUGACGCUGAGGCGCGAAAGCUAGGGGAGCAAACGGG